rnacentral:snRNA from 1 species
GUGCUCGCUUCGGCAGCACAUAUACUGAGAGUUGGAACCAUACGGAGAAGAUUAGCAUGACCCCUGAGCAUGGAUGGACAUGCAAAUUCGUGAAGCGUUCCAUACUUUU